GAGCUAUAAAAAUGUGGGUAGGUAAGGAGUCAGUGCAAACGCAACAGUUUUGUAAAAUACAUUAUUUUACAGGUCUGUUGCGUGUGCUUUUUUUAUCAAAUAAAAAUGGUUGGGCGCACAUGAACCCCUCUUUAGUAGAAAGAUUACAACGUAAGCUUGGUUAUCAAUUCAAAC
rfam:Providencia rettgeri strain MR4 P_rettgeri_contig_261, whole genome shotgun sequence.